GGAAGCGGAGAGGGCACUGGUGGCUCUCCCGGACUUCAAAUCCGGUGUGGCGGGUUAAUAGCCUGUCAGGUGGGUUCGAUUCCCAUGCGCUUCCGCCA
rnacentral:tRNA from 1 species